UACAGAGGUCCCAAGCGUUGUUCGGAUUCACUGGGCGUAAAGGGUGCGUAGGCGGUUGGGUAAGUCUGUUGUGAAAUCUCCGAGCUUAACUCGGAAACUGCAAUGGAUACUAUCCGACUAGAGGAAUGGAGGGGAGACUGGAAUACUUGGUGUAGCAGUGAAAUGCGUAGAUAUCAAGUGGAACACCAGUGGCGAAGGCGAGUCUCUGGACAUUUCCUGACGCUGAGGCACGAAAGCCAGGGGAGCAAACGGG
rnacentral:rRNA from 1 species